GAUCCUUAAGCGAUAAUGUUUUAUAACGGGAUAAACAAUUGAGCCAGACUACAAUGAAUUUAAACUUUUAAGGGUAAUUGAUGUUUUUUAAAUUUUUAGAAUCUGAGUAUCAAUAAUCCAAAUAUGAAGAGAUGUCUCUAUAAUUUUUUAAUAAAUAUAUUAUCUUAAGUUUCCCAUAUUUGUUUCAAAAAGAUUCCAAUGACAAAGUUUCAGUCAAAAAAGAUGC
rnacentral:lncRNA from 1 species